rnacentral:rRNA from 1 species
UACGGGGGGGGGCAAGCGUUGUUCGGAAUUACUGGGCGUAAAGGGCUCGUAGGCGGCCAACUAAGUCGGACGUGAAAUCCCUCGGCUUAACCGGGGAACUGCGUCCGAUACUGGAUGGCUUGAGUUCGGGAGAGGGAUGCGGAAUUCCAGGUGUAGCGGUGAAAUGCGUAGAUAUCUGGAGGAACACCGGUGGCGAAGGCGGCAUCCUGGACCGACACUGACGCUGAGGAGCGAAAGCCAGGGAGCAAACGGG